rnacentral:rRNA from 1 species
AGUGAACGCUGGCGGUAGGCCUAACACAUGCAAGUCGAACGGCAGCACAGUAAGAGUUUGCUCUUACGGGUGGCGAGUGGCGGACGGGUGAGGAGUACAUCGGAAUCUACUUUUUCGUGGGGGAUAACGUAGGGAAACUUACGCUAAUACCGCAUACGACCUACGGGUGAAAGCAGGGGAUCUUCGGACCUUGCGCGAUUGAAUGAGCCGAUGUCGGAUUAGCUAGUUGGCGGGGUAAAGGCCCACCAAGGCGACGAUCCGUAGCUGGUCUGAGAGGAUGAUCAGCCACACUGGAACUGAGACACGGUCCAGACUCCUACGGGAGGCAGCAGUGGGGAAUAUUGGACAAUGGGCGCAAGCCUGAUCCAGCCAUACCGCGUGGGUGAAGAAGGCCUUCGGGUUGUAAAGCCCUUUUGUUGGGAAAGAAAAGCAGCAGGUUAAUACCCCGCUGUUCUGACGGUACCCAAAGAAUAAGCACCGGCUAACUUCGUG